rnacentral:rRNA from 1 species
CGGCCGCAGUACUCUGACUGUGCAAAGGUAGCAUAAUCAAUUGGCUUUUAAUUGAAGUCUAGUAUGAACGGAUUUACGUAAAAGUUCUGUCUCAAUUAAAAUUUUUUUAAAUUUUUUAAGAGGUGAAAAAACCUUUAAUAUUUAAAAGACGAGAAGACCCUAAGAAUUUUAAAAAAAAUUAACUUAUCUUUUUUGCUGGGGCGGCAAUGGAUCAUGAAACAUCCAUAUUAUCGAGUUAUUCGUAUUAUAAAUUACCUUAGGGAUAACAGCACAAUUGUUACCUCGAUGUUGGACUAGGAACCUUAAGGUUAGAUACUCUAAAGGUAAGU